rnacentral:lncRNA from 1 species
AGUCAAUGGAAUUGGCAGUCAAGAGAAGUUUAACUGAAUCUCUGAGUGGCAAGAGUCAGGAGAGGUUUAACUGAAUAUAGAAGGAGAAGAAGUAUUUACAUUAGAAGUCUGAUUCACAGGUCGGGGCAAAGUGAAAAACAUCUGCACUUUUAAAAGAGAGGUCAAAAGUCCGUCUGACUCACCUGUGCUGAGUGACUUGAAUGCCAUCUAAUCUAACUUCAAGAUCAUCAGGAUACUUGCCAACAAGGUCACAGUGGACUCCAUGGAGCAACUGCCCUCAGGAGGCAACAGGUCACAGUGUUUGGACACCGCAUGAACAUGCCAAUUUCCUGUGUUGUAAUAUUUUUAUGCACUUUAAGAAGACCACCAGAAACAGCAGAGUGAGUGAAUGACUGAGGCGCAUAUUGGACAAAAAUCACUUAUCCAAGACCACGUUACUACAACCCCAGGGCACAGAAGCUAAGUCUUCCUAUUGUACUGAACUCAGUUGACUGGAAUUUGUUCAGGAAAGCAUGAAGUCAAAUGGAAGCUAGUCCGUGACUGGAUUCAUCUUUUGGUAAAAAACGAAGAGGAGACCCCAUAUCCUGGAGGUUCUUGCUUAACCCUGUCCCUAAUAAGACCUAACUUUAUGAGUCUUCUCCUUAGAGGCAGUCCUAGGGUAAGAGUGAUUAUUCCUGUGAGCCUUGUAGGUACUUUCGAAUCAAGGAAAUUAGUAGUUGAUUGCUAAUUAAUUCAGUAUUUAAUGAAUUUAAGUACCUAGGCAAUGAGGCCACAAUAGCAAAUAAGACACAGACCUGUUUUCAAAAAGUAGCCUGUAAAUAAGAUAUUUUUUUCUGCCAUGGUGGCAAAGGCAUGACUAUGGUGAUGAACAUUCAUAGGCUCACCUUCUAGCUCUGUUGUAUGUUAACUGUGUGAACUUGGGUCAAGUUAUGAAAACUCUAAGAACUCUCAAAACUCCUGAUCUGUUUUAACAUGAAAGUAAAGAUAUCUAAUUGAAUUGUUGUGAAACUUAAAUGUAAUGUGACAUCCAAAGAAUGUAGCCCAAAGUUGGAUUUCAGUAAGUGAUAAAUAGAAGUAUUUAAACAUGGGUAUGGUAUGUUCUGUAACAGAAGAAUGUCUAUGUGCUGGGGAUACCUAGAGACAGUGAAAAUUCUGUCUGGCCUGCGAAUUAUAAUAAAAUGACUCUUUAAAGUCAA